AACCUGCGGAAGGAUCAUUACCUAGAGUUUGUAGACUUCGGUCUGCUACCUCUUACCCAUGUCUUUUGAGUACCUUCGUUUCCUCGGCGGGUCCGCCCGCCGAUUGGACAACAUUCAAACCCCUUGCAGUUGCAAUCAGCGUCUGAAAAAACAUAAUAGUUACAACUUUCAACAACGGAUCUCUUGGUUCUGGCAUCGAUGAAGAACGCAGCGAAAUGCGAUAAGUAGUGUGAAUUGCAGAAUUCAGUGAAUCAUCGAAUCUUUGAACGCACAUUGCGCCCCUUGGUAUUCCAUGGGGCAUGCCUGUUCGAGCGUCAUUUGUACCUUCAAGCUCUGCUUGGUGUUGGGUGUUUGUCUCGCCUCUGCGUGUAGACUCGCCUUAAAACAAUUGGCAGCCGGCGUAUUGAUUUCGGAGCGCAGUACAUCUCGCGCUUUGCACUCAUAACGACGACGUCCAAAAGUACAUUUUUACACUCUUGACCUCGGAUCAGGUAGGGAUACCCGCUGAACUUAAGCAUAUCAAU
rnacentral:rRNA from 1 species